UAUUUAGAGAUCUCUGGUAAGGAAUUGACUCAUGUGAUCCUAAAGGCUGAAAACUCUCAAUUCUGCACGGUGGACCAGGAGACUGGAGACCCAGGGAAGAGUUCACGUUGUAGUUCAAGUCUGGAGGCCAUCUGCUGUCAAAGGUCCCUUUUGCUAAGGGAGAUACUCCUCAUAAGCAAUUCCAAUGCUGUGUCACAGAGGCCGUGUGGAACUGCUAACCACAGAGUGGCUUGUUAUUAGGGCGCCUAGGUGGCUCAGUCGGUUAAGCGGCCGACUUCGGCUCAGGUCAUGAUCUCGAGGUCUGUGAGUUCGAGCCCCACGUCAGACUCUGUGCUGCUGGCUCAAAACCUGGAGCCUGUUUCAGAAUCUGUGUCUCCCUCUCUCUGACCCUCCCCCGUUCAUGCUCUGUCUCUCUCUGUCUAAAAAAUAAAGAAACGUUAAAAACAAAAAAUAAAUAAAUAAAUAAAUAAAUA